GUGUGCGUAAUUUAAAGAAAAUAUCAAGUUGUGACCUUGAAAAUAGAUAGCCUCGCACAC
rnacentral:tRNA from 1 species